rnacentral:rRNA from 1 species
CCUACCGUUAGGCAGCAGUGAGGAAUAUUGGUCAAUGGACGGAAGUCUGAACCAGCCAUGCCGCGUGGAGGAAGAAGGUCCUAUGGGUUGUAAACUCCUUUUGUUCGAGAGUAAUAAGAGGCUUGCGAGCCUCGAUGAGAGUAUCGGACGAAUAAGCAUCGGCUAACUCCGUGCCAGCAGCCGCGGUAAU